rnacentral:rRNA from 1 species
ACGCUGGCGGCGUGCUUAUCACAUGCAAGUCGAACGGAAAGGCCCUUCGGGGUACUCGAGUGGCGAACGGGUGAGUAACACGUGGGUGAUCUGCCCUGCACUUUGGGAUAAGCCUGGGAAACUGGGUCUAAUACCGAAUAGGACCACGCGCUUCAUGGUGUGUGGUGGAAAGCUUUUGCGGUGUGGGAUGGGCCCGCGGCCUAUCAGCUUGUUGGUGGGGUAAUGGCCUACCAAGGCGACGACGGGUAGCCGGCCUGAGAGGGUGACCGGCCACACUGGGACUGAGAUACGGCCCAGACUCCUACGGGAGGCAGCAGUGGGGAAUAUUGCACAAUGGGCGCAAGCCUGAUGCAGCGACGCCGCGUGAGGGAUGACGGCCUUCGGGUUGUAAACCUCUUUCAAUAGGGACGAAGCGUGAGUGACGGUACCUAUAGAAGAAGCACCGGCCAACUACGUG